rnacentral:rRNA from 1 species
CUCGUAGGUGGUUUGUCGCGUUGUUCGUGAAAACCGGGGGCUUAACCCUCGGCGUGCGGGCGAUACGGGCAGACUGGAGUACUGCAGGGGAGACUGGAAUUCCUGGUGUAGCGGUGGAAUGCGCAGAUAUCAGGAGGAACACCGGUGGCGAAGGCGGGUCUCUGGGCAGUAACUGACGCUGAGGAGCGAAAGCGUGGGGAGCGAACA